AAUGCUCUUUCUAAGGACCAAUUAACAAACAAUAAUUAAAGAAAAAGGUGCAUGUGGGCCUUGUAUGUGAAUCUGUACUAUGUGAAUCUGUACGCAUUCAGAAUUUCCUUUGGUAAAGUUAGAAUUCCUCACCUGUUCACUGAGUUGCUAGGAGGAAAGAAAAAAAAACAGAUCGGCCGGGAGAAGAAUCUUGUUAGAAUUCCAAAACGGUGAAACCGUCGCGCUCUCUGCUCCGACCUCCUCUAACCGCAACGGUAAACAAAACUCAGCGCCGACGCACUAUCUCAGCAAGCGACGACGAGGAUGGCGGCUUCGUCGAUGACGCCAACUUCGUGAAUCCGGUGACCUCUUCGCACUAGCCACUCCUUCCUCUUACUUUUCUUUCACUAUCGAUCUGCUUCUGAUAAGGUGAAGUGAUGUUGAUGCUGAUUGAUUGAAAAAGGGGGGCUGUUAUUCAACAGGUUUUGGAAAAGUUCUGAAGAGUUGGUUUUGAAUUGGGAACUUCCAAAAGAGCUUUUGGAAGAGUCUUUGAAAUUUGCUUCAAACUGCUCUGUGUUUACAGCUUAUUCCAAUUUUCAACUUAUUUUAAAUAUACUCCAAACUCUGUAAUAAUAUUGGGAUUUAGAAAUUUGAGAUUGAUUAGAAUACUUCAGCUUUUGAAAAGUUGGGUUAAACGUGUAACCCCUUUGUUAUUAUGCAUUGGCCCUUUGGAUUAUUCAGAACUUAUUUGGAAGCAUUUUUUGUGUAA